CAGAUGUUGAACGUGAAGGAUAACGUUGCGUCAGCAACGGCCCGUAGGGCGAGGCAAAGCCGAGUCAUCCUGCACGACCCACCA
rnacentral:sRNA from 1 species